CCCUUAGAUGUUCUGGGCCGCACGCGCGCUACACUGACACGUUCAUCAAGUCUAUAACCUUGACCGAGAGGUCUGGGUAAUCUUUUAAAAACGUGUCGUGCUGGGGAUAGAUUAUUGCAAUUAUUAAUCUUCAACGAGGAAUUCCUAGUAAACGCAAGUCAUCAACUUGCAUUGAUUACGUCCCUGCCCUUUGUACACACCACCCGUCGCUACUACCGAUUGAAUGAUUUAGUGAGUACCAGGGACCGAGCGCUUUGGUUGGGUUUCCUUCCCUAGCGCUUGGGAACUGUCGCAAACUUGACCAUUUAGAGGAAGGAGAAGUCGUAACA
rnacentral:rRNA from 1 species